GAAACUCGCCUAUAUGAAGUCGGAAUUGCUAGUAAUCGCGGAUCAGCAUGCCGCGGUGAAUACGUUCCCGGGCCUUGUACACACCGCCCGUCACACCAUGAGAGUCGAUAACACCCGAAGCCUGUAGUCUAACAGCAAUGAGGACGCAGUCGAAGGUGGGAUUGAUAAUUAGGGUGAAGUCGUAACAAGGUACC
rnacentral:rRNA from 1 species